GACGAACGCUGGCGGCGUGCUUAACACAUGCAAGUCGAACGGUAAGGCCCUUCGGGGUACACGAGUGGCGAACGGGUGAGUAACACGUGGGUGAUCUGCCCUGCACUUCGGGAUAAGCCUGGGAAACUGGGUCUAAUACCGGAUAGGACCACUGCCUGCAUGGGUGGUGGUGGAAAGCUUUUGCGGUGUGGGAUGGGCCCGCGGCCUAUCAGCUUGUUGGUGGGGUGAUGGCCUACCAAGGCGACGACGGGUAGACGGCCUGAGAGGGUGACCGGCCACACUGGGACUGGGAUACGGCACAGACUCCUACGGGAGGCAGCGGUGGGGAAGAGUGCACAAUGGGCGCAAGCCUGAUGCAGCGACGCCGCGUGAGGGAUGACGGCCUUCGGGUUGUAAGCCUCUUUCAGCACCGACGAAGCGCAAGUGACGGUAGGUGCAGAAGAAGGACCGGCCAACUACGUGCCAGCCGCCGCCGUAA
rnacentral:rRNA from 1 species